rnacentral:rRNA from 1 species
CGUCAAGCCCUCAUGGCCCUUACGGGCUGGGCUACACACGUGCUACAAUGGCGGUGACAAUGGGAAGCGAAGACGCAAGUCCUAGCAAAUCUCAAAAAAGCCGUCUCAGUUCGGAUUGGGCUCUGCAACUCGAGCCCAUGAAGUUGGAAUCGCUAGUAAUCGUGGAUCAGCACGCCACGGUGAAUACGUUCCCGGGCCUU